rnacentral:tRNA from 1 species
GCAGUGGUGGUUCAGUGGUAGAAUUCUCACCUUCUAUCUGGGAGACCUGAGUUCAAUUCCCAGCCAAUGCA